ensembl:misc_RNA Metazoa_SRP Metazoan signal recognition particle RNA
GCUGGGUGUGGUGGUGCAUGCCUGUAAUCCCAGCUACUUGGGAGGCUGAGGCAGGAGAAUAGCUUGAACCCAGGAGGCAGAGGUUGCAGUGAGCCAAGAUCACACCAUUGCACUCCAGCCUGGGUAACAGAGCAAGAAUCUGUCUCAA